rnacentral:rRNA from 1 species
GAUGAACGCUAGCGGCAGGCCUAAUACAUGCAAGACGAACGGUAAGUUGAGUAGCAAUACUUAGCCAAGAGUGUCGUACGGGUGCGUAACACGUAUGCAACCUACCCUAUACAGGAGGAUAGCCUAGGGAAACCUGGAUUAACCCUUCAUAGUAUUAUUGGAUGGCAUCAUUUGAUAAUUAAAACUUAGGUGGUAUAGGAUGGGCAUGCGUCUGAUUAGUUAGUUGGCGGGGUAAUGGCCCACCAAGACGAUGAUCAUAGGGGUUCUGAGAGGAAGACUCCCCACACUGGCACUGAGAUACGGGCCAGACUCCUACGGGAGGCAGCAGUAGGGAAUAUUGGUCAAUGGAUGCAAGUCUGAACCAGCCAU